rnacentral:tRNA from 2 species
GGCGGUGUAGCUCAGUAGGUUAGAGCGUCGGAAUCAUAAUCCGCAGGUCCGGGGUUCAAAUCCCUGCGCCGCUACCA